rnacentral:other from 1 species
AUUUAAAUACAUGCUAUGUUAAAGUUCAAC